CGAAAUUAGUUUUUUUUUGGCCGUCUCGCGAUGCAUCUAGGUUUUAGCAUGGGAUAAUAAAAUAGGACUUUGGUUUUAUUUUGUUGGUUUUAAGACCGAAGUAAUGAUUAAUAGGGUCAGUUGGGGACAUUAGUAUUUAUUCGUCAGAGGUGAAAUUCUUGGAUUGAAUAAAGACUAACUUCUGCGAAAGCAUUUGUCAAGGAUGUUCUCAUUAAUCAAGAACGAAAGUUAGGGGAUCGAAGACGAUCAGAUACCGUCGUAGUCUUAACCAUAAACUAUGCCGACUAGGGAUCAGACAAUGUUCAAUUAUGACUUGUUUGGCACCUUAUGAGAAAUCAAAGUUUUUAGGUUCCGGGGGGAGUAUGGUCGCAAGGCUGAAACUUAAAGGAAUUGACGGAAGGGCACCACCAGGAGUGGAGCCUGCGGCUUAAUUUGACUCAACACGGGGAAACUCACCAGGUCCAGAAAUCGGAUCCC
rnacentral:rRNA from 1 species